CUCCUAAGACUGCUGAGCUAUUAGCAAACUCAACAUUGUUCACACUAACUGGCAUUGCUUGCUUGGACUACAGGUUAAUGAAUGCCUUGCAGUUUGAU